AGGAUGAACGCUGGCGGCGUGCUUAACACAUGCAAGUCGAACGAUGAAGGCUGGAGCUUGCCCUGGCUGGAUUAGUGGCGAACGGGUGAGUAACACGUGAGUAACCUGCCCCAGACUCUGGGAUAAGCGCUGGAAACGGCGUCUAAUACCGGAUACGAGCUUCCACCGCAUGGUGAGGAGCUGGAAAGAAUUUCGGUCUGGGAUGGACUCGCGGCCUAUCAGCUUGUUGGUGAGGUAAUGGCUCACCAAGGCGACGACGGGUAGCCGGCCUGAGAGGGUGACCGGCCACACGUGGGACUGAGACACGGCCCAGACUCCGACGGGAGCAGCAGGUGGGAAUAGUUGCAACGAAGUGGGCCGACAACGACCUGAUGACGA
rnacentral:rRNA from 1 species